rnacentral:tRNA from 1 species
UGUCAAGGGAUGGGAAUCGAACCCACGACCUUCCGCUUACCGGGCAGAUGCCAUGACCACGAGGCUACCCUGGAC